GACCCCUAAUGCGGCAGUGAAGCGUAUGCUCAUUUACCUGUUUGCCGACAAGCUGGCUGCUGAGUACUCAUGGCAUGGAAAAAAAGGAAAGCGGAAGUUUGCUGAUCUUCGGCUGUGUCAGCAUUUGUUCACUGCUGUCAGGAGGCGCUUCCCACAAAGUACAAGGGAUGACGUUGAGUCAACCACUAAGUCAUGGCUUCGUCAUGCUCCUGAGAGGGCUAAUGGAAGAGAGGGGGUCAGAGACACGUGAAGAAUAGCAGACUGGAGGACUAUUGCUUCAAGCCUUUUUGCGGAUGAGGUGUCUUCUAAAACCAUGUGUUCAAGAUGCCAUCAAUUCUCUUCAAGUACUCGAGCUUGUGUCCAAAAACAUCAUUAGGUGCAUUUUUGUUCCAUGGAGUGUUUUAUGGGUACUGAAGGUUUUUCAGUUCCAAUUUAUUCUAGACCAAUGACUUCUGUUUUAGUCAAGUGAGAUGCUUUGAAGCUUUAUAAUUUGUGUCCACUAUUGCAGUAUGUAUUCAAGCAACCCAUGUUUCAUAGCACCUCCAGGUAUUGUACUGGGCUUUAUGUUCUGCAGAAGACUUGUACUUACAAGAUCUGUAUUUUACUUGCAUAUAUCAGAGCUGCAGAAUGUACUCUAGUUGCAUAACUUCCAUUU
rnacentral:lncRNA from 1 species